AAUCAACGCUGGCGGCGUGCCUAACACAUGCAAGUCGAACGCGAAAGGGGCUUCGGCCCUGAUUAGAGUGGCGAACGGGUGAGUAACACGUGGGUGAUCUGCCUCUGAGUGGGGAUAACGUUCCGAAAGGAGCGCUAAUACCGCAUGACGUUCUGGGUUUGAAGACCUGGAAACCAAAGUCGGGACCGCAAGGCCUGACGCUUGGAGAGGAGCCCGCGCCUGAUUAGCUAGNGGUGGGGUAAUGGCUCACCAAGGCUACGAUCAGUAGCCGGCCUGAGAGGGCGGACGGCCACACUGGGACUGAGACACGGCCCAGACUCCUACGGGAGGCAGCAGUGGGGAAUUGUUCGCAAUGGGCGCAAGCCUGACGACGCAACGCCGCGUGGAGGAUGAAGGUCUUCGGAUUGUAAACU
rnacentral:rRNA from 1 species